GUCGUGCUGGUGCGCACCGGCCUGGUGCUCUCCCCCUCCGGCGGGCUGAUGGGGCGGAUCAAGCCGCUGUUCCAGUUCGGGCUCGGCGGGCGGCU
rnacentral:tRNA from 1 species